rnacentral:misc_RNA from 1 species
UCUCCGUUGGUGAACCAGCGGAGGGAUCAUCACUGGAAUCGCAAGAUCCCACAACCCUGUGAACCUACCUAAACGUUUCCUCGGCGGGUGCCUGGCCCCCGCCCCGGGCGCUGCGCCCGCCGGCGGCCCCCUACUCUGUCUCUGGAGCGUGGCAUCUCAGCGUCCCCGAAAACAAGUCAAAACUUUCAACAACGGAUCUCUUGGCUCUA